UGUUGUUUAUUGUAGCUCAGUGGUAGAGCUUGGGCUUAGUAUGCACAAGGACCUGGGUUCAAGUCUCAGAACAACAA